GACGAACGCUGGCGGCGUGCUUAACACAUGCAAGUCGAACGGAAAGGCCCUGCUUGCGGGGUACUCGAGUGGCGAACGGGGGAGUAACACGUGGGUGUUCUGCCCUGCACUUCGGGAUAAGCCUGGGAAACUGGGUCUAAUAUCGGAGAGGAGCCAUCCUUAGUGAGAUGGUUGGAAAGAUUUUUCGGUGUAGGAUGAGUUGGCGGCCUUCCAGUCUGCUGGUGGGGUAAUGGGCUACCAAGGCGGCGACGGGUAGCCGGCCUGGGGGGGUGGACGGCCACCAUGGGGCUGGGGUACGGCCCAGGCCCCUACGGGAGGCAACCAGGGGGGAUAUUGCCCAAAGGGGGCGAACCCGGUGGAAGGACGCCGCGGGGGGGAAGGCGGGCUUCGGGUUGGAAAACCCCUUCGCUAGGUGCGAAGCUUUUUGUGACGGUACCUAGAAAAGAAGCACCGGCUAACUACGUG
rnacentral:rRNA from 1 species